rnacentral:tRNA from 2 species
GGACCUUUAGCUCAGUUGGUUAGAGCGGACGACCCAUAAUCGUCUUGUCGUGGGUUCGAGUCCUACAAGGUCCA